AUGAAGCUUCUCUUUCACUUCUGAUUUGUAAAAAUAAAUUCAAACCUAAUUCCUAAUUAUUAUUUAUUACAUUGAUCACUAGAUAGGGAGACCAGUAGGUCAGUUUUGUAAGUUAUUGAAACUGUUAAAUGGAAGAUGAUGAUUCUGCGAUACUUCAGUCAUCAACAAUUGAAGAUUCUGGCAUCGUGACAAAUUCUAGUACCAUCUCUGACGUGUUAUUGGCAACUGAAAAUUUGCUAGAAAAUGAUGACGUUUGGAUGCUUUGAGCAGUUUGAGUGAGGAUGGUGUUUCAACUGGUAGCACUGAUAACAUCUCAGAUUGAUUAUGAAAGUGAUUCUCAUAUAUUUGAUGAAGAAGAUGUGCUAUUUUCUACAUCAGCAUUGCAUGAAUCUUCUAUUUAUCAAACAAUCGCACAAAGAACAGUAAUAAUUGCAACAAUGCGAUUUCCAAUGAUCUGCAGAAUCAACCAAUUACAGAGAAGAAAAGCUCAGUAUAGAUGAUGCGCUUGUGGAUUUGCAUAUUCAUGAUGUUAAAGCAAGUUCGGAAAAAACUGACCUUCUGAAGUCAUUGGGAAUAUGUUUUCUCGAGGUAAAACCUCUAAUAAAGAAACUAACAACCCUUUUCCCGGAACAAAAUAACAUACAAAGAUGGUGAAAAUACGGAGCAUUGGGAAUUUGCAAAUAAAUCGAACCCACAAAAUAACCAAGAAAAUCAAGCAAGAGUAACAUCUGAGAGUAUCGGUCCAAAAAAGUCUUGAAGUUACAACUAUCUGGAAUAUCCAGUGACAAAGCAGAGGUUAUAUCAGACGAAACUGAAGAAAGUGAUGGUCAAGUGCCUGCCAGCAAAACUGUGAACACUGUAACUCACAACUCAAAAGGUAACAUAUCAAAAGCAAGCCCUAUGCCCAACAUUUCAAAAUUCAUGCAAAAGCUGCUAUUUGAACUGAGGGAUCCAGAUGAAUUACAAUGCUCAAAAUGGAAAAGGAUAUUUGUAGACUGUAACAACGUUGUGGUUUCGUGUCAACCACCCCUUGAUGGAGAAUUAGGUUACGAUGCUGUGGUUAUUCCAGGGAAUAGUUUUGGAUUUCUCGAUGGUGAACCAGAAAUUGAGUACACAAAUACUUUUGGCUGGAAUUUGCAAGACGAAUUCCAGAAGUUUAAUUAAAGAAGAGCAUGAUGGAGAAUUAGUUGUGGGAAAAGGUCUCAUAAGGCCACUUGAUCCUUGUACGGGAGUGAAAUAUUGCAAUUUAUGUGCCUGUGAUGAGGGUUCCGCUUGAUGUCUCGGAAUCUGCAAAUGCGUACUUGGCUUUCAGAGCUGCGAUAAAGACAGUAAAACAUCACAAUGAAACAUGUAUGAAAGAAGAUUGUAUUAUAUCUAUCCUGUGCCCAGCAUUAUGUAACGGAUUUGGUGGAAUGCCUCCUGCCAGAAUAGCUUUACAAAUGAGGACUGCUUAUGAUACAUUUGCUGGUGGUGAAAAGGGUAACUUUUUGUAUUCAGACGACCUUGGUGCUAUGGCAACAAACCAUGUAAACAUGACAACAAAAAUUGGUAAAUGGUAUUGAAGUGAGAUUAUUAGUUUUUAUUUAUUUUAUCAGGAAAUAGAAGCUUUUAUUUUGUAUUUCAUAUUUUGUGAUGCUUUAGUUAGUAAUCUUUCUGCCAAAUUUUUAUUUCCUAUACUUGCUUGAGGCAAAAUCACAAGAUCUUCCGAUUAGGCCAGCAUAAAGUAAGCAAUAUGAGAUUAUAACACAUUAUUUAUCUUAUCCAACUGUAGCUUUCUGUAUUUAUAAUCAUAUAACACACUGCCCCACACAAUUUCUAUCUACAUAGUUUAUAUAUAUUCUUUUUGUUAUGCAUGCAUAAAUACAUCAUGUUUUCAUUUUUACUUGGAAUCAAAUUGUAGCUGAAGCCCUGUAUGUUUUUAAUAAGAUACGAUCUGUUCAUUCUAGUUGACCAAGCCGGAUUAUUGCUGCAACCUCUUGCCUUUUAUUUCUUGUUGCUGAUUUACUGCCCAUUCCUGUCUGCUAUUAAGUGUUAGUAGCUUUUGAAGCACUUCCAAGAUUUUUACACAAAUAGGGUUCAUCUUAUUGCACUUUUUUUUUCAAAUAUUGCAAAUUAAUAAACUACGGUAUUAAA